UCAGCCCAACAUACAAAGCAGGCAGAUCGUCCAGGUCUCUUCCUCUAUCCCCGAGCGGCGGCGCAAGCCCUAUCCCCAAGCUCCUCUGUUCGUCAUCGUCCUUCGUCUCGACAGCGAGCUUCUGAAGCACGUCUGCUUAAGCGCCCGCUCCUUCCACUGCCCCUCUACUCUUCCUCCAAAUGCCCCUAUGGUGGGUGUCUUCUUUACUUUUUUUUGAGAUGUCGUUCCUGCAGCUUUCUUCAUGGCAGUUGACGCGGCCACGCGCGCCGGCGUCCAUCGCCGAUUGUCUUUCUCCUGUGCUCGACACCAUGCCCUUGCAGUUCUAACGCGCGUCUCACCCCGUUUCGAACCUGAGAUGCCUCUUCGUUCGACCCUCCCUUGACGGCGAAGUAGAUUCGACAGAGCCGAUCGUGACCUAGAGAGAGAAAUCGUAGUUAGUCGACAGCGCUUGAUCCUCCUUUUAUGUCGCAGGAUCGGCGUCCCCUCUUCUUUCGUGCUUACCCAGCAAGCUGGCUUGAUAAUCUCCAGGGAGGAUGAAGUUGUUGAUUUGUUGUGCUGAUGCGUGAUGAGCAUCUCGGGAGGAUGUAGUUGGAACAGUCGGUGUACUGUUUCGUAUGCAGAUUCCUUGACUUUGUUCCUCAAUCCUGGAGGGGCGAGGUUUGAGUAAUUUGUCUUCUUAUGAUGAAUAAGAUCAGAAGCUUAACUUGGAACAUUGGAAUUCAUGUAUUAUGCAUAGUUUUUUUACAUGCGUUAGCUUUAUUGGUUAUAUACGAAUUUACUUUCAGAUUAUGUGAGCUCAUUUUCUUUAUGAAAUUGUUCCUUGAAUUACCUUGAUACUUUAGCAAUCUCCAUGGGAUCAGUUUUAUAAGUUCAGUUUGGUGCUACUAUUUGUUAGCUAUUUGAUCAAAUGCUCAUGUACUUUAAAGAUUUACCUUGCAUGUGCCUUUUUGUUCUGGUGCAUUGCAUGUUUAGUACACUGUAAUUCUUGAUAUGUUUUACAGCUAGGCCAUUAAUUAGGUGGUGCAAGCCAUUUUAUGAGGUCGUUGUUGACAGCAGUGUCAUGUUCAACUUUGAGAGCCAGUCUUCUUUUAUCCAUAUUCAACUCUUGCUUGUCACGUAUUCAUCUCCUGUUGGGCAAGCUUAUGUGCUGAUGUUACAUUUUGCAGGAUUUUCAUGUUUGUGCUUUGAGAGGUUCCUUGAUUCAGCAUCACCUUGGAAGCUGUUACUUUUCAGAGAACACCGGAAACCAUAUCCUUCUUUUUUUUCCUGUUGGCCAUGCUAUGACGCUUUACAUUCAAUUUUCUUUCUGCCUCCAAAAGAUUUCUCGCAUUAAUUCAGCAAAUUGCCUCGAAGGUACUUAGGAAAUAAUCAUCUUCAUAUUUGAGGUGUUGUAGUUUCGAACACACAUACUUAUUAGAUAUUGGUACCAUCUAAAUUAUAAAAGAUAUUUAUACUAUUUUUCUAUUAAAAUGGACGAGCGCGGCAAUGCAGCGAGUUACGAGGCUCCACAGCGCCCUGAAGUCGCUGGCCGUCGGAUGCUUCCAUCGUACGUCCCCUGUGCAUCUUCGUUUUUCAGUUGGGCCGCUGCUCCGCAUAACUAUUCAGGCUUGUUGCGGUUGAUCGGGCCUGGGCGGGUGCACUGGCCCAUUACAUGAUUCACUUUGCCUAUGCCUGCAUCGUCUUCUCUCUGCUUGUCCUUCACCUCCGCCGCCGCUGCCGCCACCGUUUCCUCUCCUUCACCAACCCGAGAUGGGAAAAAAGACAUGAAAUAAAAUUCCCACCAUGACGUCUCCUCUACCAUCCCCAUGACCGGCGGGCAGCAAAGACGGAGAAAGGCAACGAGAGAUAGAUCCACCUGGCCGAGGAGGUGUGGCGGACCGUCAAGGCACGCCAAUGACCUCUCCAUGGCCAUUGAGUUGGAGGAAGACACUAUACUUUGUUCUGGUUGGGCGCCCUGUGGACCAAAUCCGAUGCAAGAUGUCAUAGCCAGUGCUGAGGGCAAUGACACUAGCAAUGGUGCGACGGGGCGGAGAUAGUGUGGACUUGGUUCUCGCCGACCACAAAUGGUGCUUUGCAUAGAUGGAGUAAUGUGGAGCCCGCGUGGAUCUACCGCGUCCGGAGCUUUUCGCACGAACUUCCGCCUCAUCAUUCUCACCUUAGGAGGACGUUGCACUCGUCAGCGGCGAGGCACCAUGCUGGAUCUGUUGCUGAGCUCAUUUUGUUGGUUUUUCUGAACUUGGUUUAGGAAUUUAAUUCAGAAUGUCCGCUCUGGCUGAUGAACAACCACACGACAAAUCAGUUGGCAAGCGGCGACGGAGGAAGGGAACCAUAUGGGAAACCUGAGCAGCUAACACUCGGAUUAAAUUAUAUAAUUGUGUGUUUGCUGUUGAGGGUUGAAAUCUUGCCUUGUGCACUUUCUUCCAAGACCCUGUAACUGAAGUGAGGAUUUAAUUUUGCGCUAAAUGCAUACCCAAAGGACCAUUACUUUCAACGUUGAGCAAGUAGCUAGAAACGAUGACACUACAAUAUUUGUUCUCUUUCGGUGGCAUGUGGUACUGGUUGUGGAACUGGCAGAAACUCAAUCUUCUACAAAGCUCAGGAUAAAACAAGCAAUUAACUAUUGUUCUGUAAGUAUAUUGAGAAAAUAAUUAUUUUUACAAAGUUGUAGUCACAAAUUCAUGUUAGAAAAAUGACCUUUGGUUAGUAGUCUCACUGCAGCAGUUCCCAUGGAUCUAUAUCACGAGAAUGGACACUUGAGAGACGCAUAUGACAAAGCCAUAUGCCUUACUAACGAAUUUGAUAGGGUAACCGAUUACGAAGAACCAUGCCUUCCACAAGUCUGUCCUGCCAGCUCUGGUUGCGUGGCACAUCUAGAAAGAGCGAAAUCAAAGGAUUUUUGAUAACACAACUUUGGAUAUUGCUGACCUUGUUACUUUGAUUAGAGAUGACUUCCUGACUGUAGGUCAGGCUUUUUGCGAGUAGACUUUUCUCUCUCUUAUUUUCUUUGAAUUCAGUACAGUAUUUCCCUCUCUAAUGAAAAGCAGAGUUCCUGCUGUUAACCGUCAAAAAGAAAUACGCUUUGAUGUUGUGCUAUUAGCAUUCAGUUUCUCAUAGUAUUUAAUAUUAGUACUUUCUGCUUAUGACUAUUCUGAUUUGCACCUUAAAUCACUAGGAAUUAGUGUCAGCUUUUUCAGAUGAUUCUGGUUGAUUCAAAUUAACUGCUAUGGCUUAUGGCACACAGGAAACUUCGGUUAAGUUGCCACAACCUAGCCGUCUACUUGUUGGUUAUCAAUUGUUCUACAUUCUCCGUCUUUCUUUCUCAAUUGAACUUCAUUUUUAGUUGUUCUUUUGCAAAGACGGACGGGCGCGGCAACGCGCGCCUUCAUGUUCUAGUAUCCAUAUAAUCAAAUAACGAUCUCAGGACCAUAUCUAAUAUCCAUACUAGCACAUAUCCAUGUAUAGACUCAUAUAAGCACAUAUAGAUGAUCUAUUGGAGAAAUAAGUCAUGACCAACCAGCAUAAGUCAGAUAAGGAGUUUAUUACCAACAAGCACCAUACACUCUCAAAAUAGAAGAUGAGCUCUGUGGACAUGAGCUCUAGGGUUGUUGUUGUGGAGGAGGAAGGGUAUGCCUCGUCAUAGCAUUCAUACUUUGUAGGAAUAUGUGCAAAACAAAUUCUGGGCAUUGUAGCAAACAAUCUCACCGGAUAAUAGCCUUGGCUAUGUAUUAUAGAAAAGAACUUACGUUCGCGUCGAUGUACUAACCCUGCACAGGAUAAGAGCAACACCACAAUCAUGAUGAAAUGGACGAAGAUAAUUGAUGAGUGGAUCUUUGCAUCACUUUUAGAGUCCAUUCUAGUAAAAAAUCUCUCAUGUCAUAUCCAUCUAGCAUUUUUUCACGUCCACAAUGCAUAGUUUCUAAUCUUUACCCGCUUUCCCAAGUUCAUUGUACAACUUUAAGUUUUUCUAAUAUUUCCUUUGUUUUGGUUGCUUUGUAUGUGUAUUGACAUUUUUAUGGACAUGGAAUAUAAAAAAAGAACCAAGUGGGGAAAAACCUGAGGAGUUCUAGGCAUUAGAUUCAAGCCCUUUGGAGAGUUGGAUAUUUUAACAUUUUUAAAAGUGCCCAAAUUAAAGGUCCAAUACCAUAGGUAUAUGUAAC